rnacentral:lncRNA from 1 species
GGUGAUAGCUGAAAUGACCAAUGGAGGAGUUGAUCGAAGUGUCGAGUGUACUGGAAGCAUCAAUGCCAUGAUUUCUGCAUUUGAAUGCGUCCAUGAUGGAUGGGGCGUUGCUGUACUUGUUGGUGUGCCGAACAAAGAUGAUUCUUUCAAAACCCAUCCGAUGAAUGUCCUGAACGAGAGGACUCUCAAGGGGACCUUCUUCGGCAACUACAAACCGCGCUCCGACCUUCCUUCAGUUGUCGAGAAGUACAUGAACAAGGUAAAUCGGAGUUCCCAUUAAUCUUAUCCAGCAUGCAGUAUGAACAUAUAUUUCCAUCCUUACACAUAUGUAGUAGACUAGAAUUACGGCUCUGUUGGUAUUUCUUAGAGGGAACUUAAAGAUAAAAUCAUGGACGCAACAUCAACUUAAAAUGAUCACCUUUACAUGUGAAAAUGAAAAUUAUUAACCUUCUUUGGUAGUGCAAUGCUAAUACACUUGCAUUGAGUUUUGAAACUUGUGUCACGGGAAAGAAAUCAGUAGUUAUUCCUUCUUUUUAUUUUGAUGCAAUCUCCUGCACUUUUAACUUCUCUAGUUGUAAUGUGACAGGAGCUGGAGCUAGAGAAAUUCAUCACCCAUGAAGUCCCUUUCUCAGAAAUCAACAAGGCUUUCGAGUACAUGCUUAGUGGAGCUGGCCUGAGGUGUAUUAUCCGUAUGGGUGCAUAAAAGAAGACUGGUUUGGUUUGCCUUGGUGUGACAGGAAGCAAUAAAAUUCUUGUUUGAGAUUGUUGAUUAAAGAAAGUUUCUGUGUUUGAGUGUCAGAGUUCUUGAUAAUACAGUGUGUAAUUUCUUUCAUUGUAGAUGGAAAAAAAAUAUAUUAAAGCCCAUUUCUGGCAUGUAUAUGUAAAUCAAAAUUUGACUUGUACUUUUUCAGUGCUUUCUGUGUCCCUUUCAGUUUGUCUUUCACAGUGCUAUGGAUACGAAAACAUUGAAAAAAAAAUCCUGAAGCCAGGCCAGAUUGGCAUUUUCACUUCUGGUUCUAGAGAUUACUAUGUUCCAAUGAACCUAAAGGGAAAUUAGGCAUGGCCUAAAUUUGGUCUGGUCAGAAACACAAUGCUGUUCGGAACCCAUUACCGAGCGGCAGAAGAUACAGCAAGGUUUGUCCGGAAUGAACUCCAAAUUUCGUAUUGGUGCACAGAGGUCAGAAUUCACUCCAUCAGUUAGUUACUGAUACGAACAUCGUUAAACUUAGCUGUUAAAAAUGUAUCAGAUGCCGGAAAGAUUUAAGACUACUUGUAAUGGUGAUGGACAAGAGGACUAACUAAUAACAAAAAUGAGAAUAAAAGGUUGAGAUUAAUACAAAUAAAAAUAGAGAGUCCAAAUUAGUAUAAAAUUAAAAGUAAAGGUACCAUCUUAAGCUUUAGAUAAUAAGGGAACGUGAUUCUCAAAUUAGUUUCAUGUGUAACUCUGAGACCCAAUUAAUUUUUUGGUGUUGAGCACGUGCCUGGCACCUAAAUUAAUUGGGGGUACUGACACCAUCCCAAUUAAUUGGGUGGUGUUGGGUGCGCCAGCACUCUUCCAAUUAAUUUGGGUGUUGGGCGUGCCAGGUCUUAUUAUUCUGUUCAAGGAUAGUGUUUGGACCCAUUUGAUUAAGAUACUGGUAUUAGGGGUGAAAAAAAAACUGAAAAAAAAAAAACUAAAAAACUGAACCAUGAAAAAAAAUCGAUUAAAUCGAUUAAAAUUUUGAAAAAACCGACUGGUUCGUUUUGGUUUCAUUUUUAUAAGCCUGAAACCGAAAAAAAAACCUGGAAAAAAACCGAGCUAAACCAAAAAAACCGAGCCAAACUGAAAAAACCGAGCCAAAUCGAUUUGAACCGGUUUUUAUCCAAAAAAACCGAACAGAACCGAAACCGGUCGGUUUGAACCGGUUUCGUUUUUUUUAUUUUAAAAAAAUUCGGUUUGGUUAUUUUUUUUUAUAAAAACCUAACCAAACUGAAAAUGAUCACCCCUACUGGGUAUGCUAGCAUUUAAUUUAGGACUCUUGGUUAGGAAAAAUUUCUAGCCACCAGGGAGAAGAUAUUGUUGCUACCGGCUAUCAACCACUAGGAUUUUUUAUAUCAAGCCAUUAGACAUCUUGGUUAGAAAAAAUAUAUCAAAUUACUUGAACUAAAAGAUUAACUGAUUAUCCAAUAUAUAAGCCUUAUUCUCAAACAUCUUGGAUUUUAGGACACAUCAGUUAUUAAACAUUGAUUGACCAAUUUAGAGUUUGUACUUAGUUAGGUUUCAAGUUCAAUAAAAAAAUAUAAAAUUGGUAAAACUUGAUAGGUUUUUAGUAACAUAAUUGACUCGAUUAAAGAGAAAACCUUAUGGUGGUAUGCCUAGCUCCUUGGACACUCUAGUUUAGUAAAACGACUUAUCAUAAUUAAGGUAAUUACCCCACAUAAUUAAGAUAAGAUUAUUAUUUUUUACCUUCUCUCUAUGAAAGAAGAAGUAACAUAACCAUUAUAUAAAUCUUGACAAACAAUACAAUAAAGGAGAGAUUUUUAGAAAGAUAACAAAGUACUUUAGAAAAUGUCUAUAUAGUGUAGUAGUUUUUCAACUAUAUAAUUAGGUAAGCAUUCAUGAUAAGAAUGGAGAAUGAUUCUUUCCCUUUCUUGAAGUGAUCCAAUACAAUAUCAUUUAGUUUCAUUAUAAAUAAUCUGGUCAUAGAUUACAUUCAAUACAUUUUCUUUAAUAAAUAGUUGUUGAUUUAAGUAUUAGAUAACCCUCUAUCCAUAUAAAAAAAACCUAUCAAUUAGAUAUCAAGAAGGGCCAAGUUUUGCCAUUGUUCAACUCUUUUUCCAACUCUAAAUAACCUAGCCCUAUCCAAAUAAGUUACUCCAUUUUCUAUUUAAGCCCAAGUCCGAUAAUAUACCAAGAAAAACCCAUGAUUCUCUCAAGUGAUUUUAAACCACACAACAUGGUAGAUAUCCUGAAAAAUAUAAGUCUUUAAUGACUUAUUAUGACUCAUUUAAAUAUUUCUUUUUCUCUUAUAAGCAUAGUUUUUAAACCUAAUCUAUGGCAAGGUCUGAGUUAGUGAGUUGACUCGAGUUGAUUCAUUCUUUUUAUUUUAUAAAAAAAUAAAAAUGACAUGAUUUUGAAAAAAAACAAUUAAAGGGUAAAUUACUUUGAGCAUUAUAUGGUUUGAUUAUUUUUUUCACUUUGCAACAAAGUUUUAAAUAUUACACUUUGCAACCUUGAUCAAAGUAGAUUUUAAAAAACAACAAAAAGACAAUAAUACCCUCAUAUAUAUUAAAGUGUGCAGGAUAGUCAUAAUCACACCACUUAUUCUCUCCUUGUUCAAACCCCCUAACCAAAAUACAAAACACAAAAAAAAAAAAAACAGUAGAUCCAGACCACCUAAGAAAUCAAGAAAUAGUUAUCGAGCAAAUCAAGAAAACUACAAGAAAACCUAGUAGAUCUAGACCUUAGCAAUGAAUCCUCAUUAACAACAAUCAAGAUCCAUCAUCAUUCUUCCCCACACCACUCUCAUCACUAGGGCUGAGCAUUUCCGGUUCGGUCCGGUUUUGAACCAAAAUAAACAACCAAACUGAAUUAUUAAUUUUUUAAUUUUUUAAACUGAACCGAACUGAAAACCGGUUCAAACUGAUUAAUUUCGGUUCGGUUCGGUUUGGUUUUUUUCCCUUCCAAACCGAUUCAAACCCAAUGGUCCUCUCUACUUCUCUUGUAAUCUCAUACAGCAGAUCCCAAGUUGCUGGAGGUGAAGACCCAUUCGGGCUUCCACGGCUAGAUCCUUGUCUACAACUGCACCCAACCUUGCAAAUCAGGCAAAAAACCCAAGACCCAAACAUUAGCCCCAGAAAACAUAAUCACAGAAACCAGAGCAGGUUGUCCUACUUUAAAAAGAAACAUAAAGGAAGCAAUACCUUAGUCUUUUCGGUGCUGCAAGGGAGGUCGUUUUUCUUGAAAUCAUCUUUAAGGGUGGAGUGGGUCAUUUGAUGAGUUAACUCAGCCAAGUACUCUUCUUCAUCACUCUCUGUCUCAGUAGAGCCAACGAUGACCAACUUGUUUUGCUUUGAUUUUUCACCAGCCAGAGAGUGAAGGGAGAGAGAUGCAGAGAAGGGAGGGGAGGGGGGGCGGCCCACCAGCCAGAGAUGAAAUGAGAGAGAUGCAGAGAAGUGAGGGGAGGGGGGGAGUAAAGUGAGAGUGAAAUGAGAGAGAUGCGGGGGGGGGGGGGGGGCAGCUGAUGGCUUAAUGUUAUUCUAGGGUUAGAAAAAAUUGUAUUUAUACUUGCCUCUUUUUUUUUAAGUGCUGGCUAGUUGAACCGAUUCGGUUCAAUCGGUUUCCGACUUUAGAAACCAAAACCGAACCGAACCGGAAUUUUUUUAUGAUUUUUUAAUCGGUUAAUUUGGUUUUUUUUUUCGGUUCGGUUUUUUCGGUUUUUUUUCCGAUUUUCUCGGUUUAAUCGGUUUAUCUGUUUUUUUGCUCACCCCUACUCAUCACCAUUCUUACCUACAUGUUGCCUCCCUCAUCCCCACUAUUGGUGCCCACUGUUAGUUUAAUAUGUUAUGUAGUCAUUCGGUUAGUUACAUAUGAUAUUAUUAUAUUCAUGUAAAUGCAUAUUUAUUAUUAAUAAAUACUUAAUUUAUUUUUAAUAUUCAUAUAAUAUUAGAUUAAUAAAUCUAGAGUAAAGAUAAAGUUCAUAGAACAAAAAUAUUUUCAAAGAAAAUUAUAGAGUUGUUAUAAUUAUGAGAUUUUUAUUGCAUCAAAAUAUUGUUCAUAAAAUAUUUUUGGUCGAUGAUAUCUGAAAUACUGGACAUUCAUUAGAGCCAUAAAGACUAGUACAUAUUAUGUUAUUUUAUUUAUGAAAGGAAGCAGAUGUUCUCAUCAGUUGAGGUAUAAGGGAUACCUAGAACUAAUAUGUAGGUGUUUGUCAGAAGAUAUGUAUACUAAAUUGAUCCACAUGAGAAUUUCAUAUAGAGAGAUUACCUAUGUCUAUAGAAAGGCUCAUGUGACGGUUGUGUAUAUGAUCUUUAGACUUGAGAUCACUAAGUAUCUUAUAUAGAGAAUGUUAUGCUUUAAUCAUGUUACAUGUUAUCUUAAUCAAGGUAACGAAAUGACAGACAUUGGGUAUAACAUGAACUAUAUAAAGGUACUUGAGUGAUCAAGAGAACAUUCAUCAUCCUAGGUGAAUUAGGAAAAGUAUUUCAUUUGUUCUCAAAUAAUAUUGAUUGAGAAAUCCUUGGUCAAUGUGGAAUGAGAUUUAAAAAGAGUUUCAAAUCUUAUAAAAACGAUCAAUGACUAUUAUGUAAAGAGCAAACAUGAUUUAACAUAGCAGACAUACUAUAUGCUUUAAUGUCAAAUUAGAACAUUAUUUAUGAAAGGAUAUUAAUUACACUAAGAAACUAGUCACUGAAAAGUUAGGUCAAACCACUAAUGAUUUUUUUAAUAUUCAAUGGAUCAUGACAUGUUGCUAGAUGAUGCACCUGAUCUUCAAAUAUAAAUUAAUCAAUUGUUUAAUUGAUAAUAAAUUAAAUUUUUUAAUUUAUUUAAUUCUAUAUAAUUAGAAUUAUAAUUUAUAUUUGGGCCAACAUAUUAGGAACCUAAUGGGUUACACACAUUAAGAACCAACAGUCAGAAAUUAAACUGAGAUGAUUUAAUUAAGUAUGACUUAAUUAAAAUAUAUUUUAGAAAUUAAGAAUUAGAAUAUAAUUAAUACAAGUAUUAUAUUUCUAAAUUUAGAAAAAUCAAAUAAGGACUUGAUUGAGUUAAUUUUCAAAAUUAUCCUGAAUUAAUAUAUAGAUAUUAUUCAGGGGCAAAUUGACAUUUUGCUAAUUUAUAGGGUUUUUCAGAUUUUUCUAUAAAUAGUAAGCUAUGUCUCUUAUUUUAUAGAUGUUUUAUGUUAGACAGAAAAACUACUAACACUCUAGACAUAACAAUCCCUUUCUCAUAAAUAGAGAUUUAAGAGAUUUCUCAUUGAUGGUUCAUGUGGAUUACUGUUGAAGGCCGGACAAUUGGAUAACUUGUGAUUUACGACAACCCAACCUUUAAAGAAUCAUUCAAAGCUGAAGAAGAUCAAAUCUUCAGGCAAUAAAUUCAUAAACAACUCUAGAUCUAUCUAACGAGAUCCUAAGGACUCUCAAAUAAUAUUGUUUCCUAGUUUCUGCUAUGUGUAUGAUAUUUAGAAAACCCAACACCCGCUGCAAGAUUAGUAUGGCUAUCGACCUCUUCGACAAAUCUGCCUACACAAAACAAACACAAAAUUCUCUCUCUCCUAAUCUAAGAAAACAACAACUAGUUAUCAAGCAAACCAAGAAAGUGCUUGGCUAGAACAUGUGUGGUGUGAUUUUCUCUGCUAACAUUUUGAGCAUGACUAGAAUUUCUAGGGCUGAAGGAAGUUCUUGGUUGUUGUAAAUAUUGUUGGCAUACAUAUAAAUAGUGUAAUAAGUUGAAUAUUCAUGAUGUAACCCACAAAGGCACUAUUAUUUUGAAUGGGGUAAACUUUGUUCUGUCACUGAGUGAGGCAAAAUGGUUUUAAUUUUACAUACUAAUCUUCAAAAAAUUCAUAUUAGAAAUUAUCUUACAAGAUGGAUUGAUGAUUGCUUAUUUUACUUGUUAGAUUAUUAUGUGAUUGAGUAUAUUAAAGAGAAUUUAGUUAUGUUUUUGUUAUUUUUACAUUUCAGAACUCUUUAGCCAUUAUUUCAAAUAUAAUGAAGUUUUGUUAAUAAAUAAAUAUUAUUUGUUGACUCUUUUUGUGACACCAACUCUAAAGAAUAAAAUGUUUUUUGUCUUCAAAAUUCAAGUUAUAAAUUGUAAUAUUCAAAAACCUAGUUGCAAAGUUAAAAAAAUAAUCAAACCAUAGGAUUCUUAGAGUAAUUUACCCAAAUUUAAAAUGGAAACAAAUUAAAGAAUUUAAUUGGGUUUUGAAUGGGUUAUCUCUGGACUGAUCGAGUUGCAAGUCAAUCUAAAUUUUUUACCAGAUCUCACAAAUCAAUUUUAUUCUUGUUAUUGUUGAAGCUCGACUUAACUUAAACUUCAAGUCAUCUAAGUUAUGAAUGAUCCAGUCAGAUCAGAUUAGACACUUUUUGAAGAAUUGUAAUUGCUUUCGAUUACGUGUAAAUAAGUCUUAUCAUAUAUUAAUUGAUUAUUUGUGUUUUGAGUGAGGAUUUAUAAUCUUUAUUUUUUAUAUAAAAAAAUGAAAAUAAAACGUUUGCAAAAUAAACAAAAAAAAAAAUUCUCAGGGCAUUUUAAAUGAGACGUUUUAAAUUUUUUCCAGAGUAAUUGCAGAAAAUGUCUGUGUUUUCUCUAUAAAAGAAAUUCUUUUGACAGCCUGCACUUCAUUAAAACAAUAAUAAAGGUAAGUGUUUGUCCGGCUGUAUUACAAGAUUCUAAAAGGUCAACGACUUGCCGCUGCAGUGUAAAGGAAACAAACAGCAAAACCACAACUGGAAAUACAAAAUCUAGAAACGCUAAUUGCAAAACAGUCCUUCAAUUAUGAUAGAUAUUUCAAUUAAAUGUCAAACUAUAUACUCAUUUUCAAUUUUACCAUCAAACGAUCAAUCGCUUAAAAAUAAUUUCCAUACCAUGUAAUUUUUCUUUUGAGUGUCAAGAACUACUUCUAUCGUAAUAUUAAUUAAAAAAACACUACACGAUAAUUUUUUUAUCACAAAAUAAAAUAAAACUUCUAGUUAGUUUAAGAAAUUGUGAACUCUGCCAAAUGUUUGUCAAAACUACAAAACCAGUGACAUUUGAAAGAUAAAUUUGCAAAAUUGUUUCUUCAGAUAGUAUUAACAAAGUAUAGCAUAGUUUGAGGACAGGUUUGUAGUUAGCCAAAACCAGACACAAAUUAAAUAGAGAAACCAGAAAGCCAGAAACAGGGGGAGCCGUUGUUGCCAACAAGAGAGAGAAACAGAGGACAAAUGAAACAGCAGGAUCGUAAAUGGUUUUCUUUUAAGAAAUAUUCAAAUUUAUGGUCAACAUAAUCCAAAAAACAGGAGAGACAUGCGUACUUCUGCAACUAUAAAUACCUAGAAAGACAACCUGUCUCGUCACAACUCAAGAAACAGAGCAAAGUAAUCAAAGAAGCGUUAAAGAAGGGUCUAAAGUUCGUUUAAAACAAAGAUGUCGAGCACUGCUGGUCAAGUCAUAUGUUGCAAAGGUAACCAAGAAAGUUCAUGAUUCCUUGUGGGAUCUGUGAUGUGUUCUUUAUUCUUUGUGCUGUUGUCAUUUUGUGUAUUUGGAUUUCUCAUUUAUGUCUGGCAAUGACUGGAUGCAUUUUGCUUAAUCUGUAGCUGCUGUGGCAUGGGAAGCUGGGAAGCCACUGGUAAUAGAAGAAGUGGAGGUGGCUCCUCCUCAAGCUAUGGAGGUUCGUUUGAAGAUCCUCUUUACCUCCCUCUGCCACACUGAUGUUUACUUCUGGGAAGCCAAGGUGACUGCAUUUUCAAUUGUGAUUAUUAUGUCUGCUCAUUGGUCUUUUUAUAAGUCAUACUAGUGGAGAUUUAUGCUUACGAAAAUGGGCUGUGAAAUUGCAGGGUCAAACCCCAUUGUUUCCUCGAAUAUUUGGUCAUGAAGCAGGAGGGUAUGAAUUUGAACCAUUAGUCCAUUAUUGGUCAUGAUUAGAUGUUGGUUGUGACUGUUGUAAUAGCGAUGAAUUGAGGUGACUAAUUUGAUUUUUUGUCCUCUUGGCUUUUAGGAUUGUUGAGAGUGUUGGGGAGGGUGUGACAGACCUCAAACCGGGUGACCAUGUGCUUCCUGUCUUCACAGGAGAGUGUAAGGAAUGCCGACAUUGCAAAUCAGAAGAGAGUAAUAUGUGCAAUCUUCUUAGGAUUAACACUGACAGGGGUGUGAUGCUGAAUGAUGGCAAGUCAAGGUUUUCGAUCAGAGGGCAGCCCAUUUACCAUUUUGUUGGCACCUCAACCUUUAGCGAGUACACUGUGGUUCAUGUUGGCUGUGUUGCCAAGAUCAAUCCUGCUGCUCCUCUCGACAAAGUUUGUGUUCUGAGCUGUGGAAUCUCUACAGGUGGGGAGAAAUACACGAUUUGAUAAAAAUCAUUGAAUGGGGGGAUUUGUUGCUUUCUUUUAAUGGGGAUUUCUCUUUUGACUUGUAGGUCUUGGUUCCACCUUGAAUGUUGCAAAACCAAAGAAAGGCUCUUCGAUAGCCAUUUUCGGACUGGGAGCUGUAGGCCUCGCGGUAAGUUUUUUUAUACAGGUAGAUUAAUGAUAAUGUUUUCUGUUCAAGCUGCAGGAAGUGUUAAUGCAGAACUUGUUCCUGUUGUUUUUUCCUAAUCCAGGCUGCUGAAGGGGCUCGGAUUGCUGGUGCUUCAAGAAUCAUUGGUGUCGAUUUGAAUUCCAAUAGAUUCGAUGAAGGUGAGAGAAGCUAUAAUGCUGUUCAUUGUGGCUGCUGAGCAUUUCUCUUAAAUUAUUGAUUGAUUCUUAGCUCAGUCUAAUAGCUAAUAUCACAAAACUGAUAAAUUUAAGUAGCUUUAAUGUUGAAUCUUGGUGAUAAUAACUGCUUUCUGAUGUUCAUUUGUGUUUUUUCAACAGCCAAGAAGUUUGGUGUCACUGAGUUUGUGAACCCAAAAGAUCAUAACAAGCCUGUUCAAGAGGUAAGUGACAAAGAGAAUCGUGUUCUGAGCACUAGCAUCGGCGCAUCCUUUACGCCUGUCCUAAUUUUGAUUUACUGUGUUCAGGUGAUAGCUGAAAUGACCAAUGGAGGAGUUGAUCGAAGUGUCGAGUGUACUGGAAGUGUCAAUGCCAUGAUUUCUGCAUUUGAAUGCGUCCAUGAUGGAUGGGGUGUUGCUGUACUUGUUGGUGUGCCGAACAAAGAUGAUUCUUUCAAAACCCAUCCAAUGAAUGUCCUGAAUGAGAGGACUCUCAAGGGCACCUUCUUCGGCAACUACAAACCGCGCUCCGACCUUCCUUCAGUUGUCGAGAAGUACAUGAACAAGGUAAAUCGGAGCUCCCAUUAAUAUUAUCCAGCUAACAUGUAGUGUGAGCAUAUAUUUCCAUACUUGCACAUGCGUAGUCGACUAGAAUUAACUACUCCAAUUCCUUCGUUUUAUUUUGAUACAAUCUAUUUCACUGUUAACUUCUCUAGUUGUAAUGUGACAGGAGCUGGAGCUAGAGAAAUUCAUCACCCAUGAAGUCCCUUUCUCAGAAAUCAACAAGGCUUUCGAGUACAUGCUUAGUGGAGCUGGCCUGAGGUGUAUUAUCCGUAUGGGUGCAUAAAAGAAGACUGGUUUGGUUUGCCUUGGUGUGACAGGAAACAAUAAAAUUCUUGUUUGAGAUUGUUGAUUAAAGAAGUUUUCUGUGUUUGAGCAUCAGUAUGUAAUUUCUUUCAUUGUUGAUGGCAAAAAUAAUAUAUAUAUAAUUAGCCCAUUUCUGGCAUGUAAAUAUAAAUCAAAGAAUCACAUGUUCGUUUUCUUUCAGUUUGUGUUUUUAAUGGUGCUGUGGAUAGAAAACUUUGAUAUAAAUCCUGAAGCCUGGCCAGAAUGGCAACUUCACUUGUUGGCCUGGCCAGAAUGGCAACUUCACUUGUUCUUGAUAUAACUAUGAUCCAAUGAAUCUAAAGGGAAACUAGCCAGUUCGGACAAAAUGCUGUUUGGAACCCGUUACCGAGGGCCCGAAGAUAGAGCAUGGUCUGUACAGAAUGAACUCCAAUUUUCGUAAAGCCGCUCAGUGGUGUGGUCAGAGUUCCCUCCAUCAGUUACCGGUUAAAACAUUGUUAAACAUGUACUACCAGUUGCCGGCAAGACUUAACACUGUUUGUAACGGUGAAGGACAAGAUUGAGAAUGAAAUGUUGAAAUUAGUACAAAUAAAAAUACAGAGUCCAAACUACUACAAAAUUAAAUGUAAAAAGGACCAGAUUAAGCUUCAAACUGUAGUUCUCAAUCCACGUUGUCGGUCUCACAUGGUAAUGUAUUUUAACCGAUUCUAUUCUUAAGACUUUAUGACUUGCUAUCAAAGUUCUUCACAUAACAUCAAUGGUCUACUUCUAAUCUUAUUAACUCAAGCCAUACAAGCUUUUUUUUAGUUUGCAAACUAGAUUUUCCUGUUCAUUUACUGGGAAUCCUUUUGGCUGCUUUAUGUAGAUAUUUUUCCUAUAAAUAUUCAUGAGAAGCAAUUUUCACAUUUAACUACUUAAGAUGCAAAUCUUUUGCAGCUACAAUUCCUAAUACUAGUAUGAUGGUUGUCAGCUUCACCCCUAGAAAAAUGAUAUAUGUGUAAUCGAUACCUUAUAAUUGCAUUAGAAUUGCUCCUCAAUUUUAGAAAAUAGAAUUUGAUUUUAUUAAUUUUAGAAAAUUGAAACAACAAUGACCAACAUUUACUUGGCUAAGCAUAUCCAACCCUUUUUUUCACUUUGGCAUGGAGAAUUACAGUUCGGUCCUAUAGUUUUAAUUUCCCCCCUUUUUUCCCCUCUUUUUUAUGGUUUCGGGUUUAAAUACCGAACUUCAUUUCUAUUAUGUUUUAGUCAUUGGACUUUGAGAGGAGAGAGAGACGACGGAUAAUGAGAAAAGAGAGAGAAAGAAGUUGGUCGGCCACAUUCCAGCCACUAGCAAGGCUGAUUUUGGUGUUAUUGGGUUCCUCUUAAUGGGAGGGUAGUCAUUUAAGUAUUUUUAGGCUUCCAUCUUACCGAAAAAUGCAAAUAAAGGUUAGGGAAGAGUUUACUUUCGUCAACUUUAUUUUAUGGGUUUUAAUCAAUUUAAGGUGGCUUUGAUGAUACAAGUUGAUUUAUUAGGAUUCUUGUAAUGUUUACUGGGUGGUUUUAAAUAAAAAUAUGCUAAAAAGUAGGUCUUUGGGUCCUAAAAAAAACCUUUAUCAUAACUUUUUAGCCACCUCUUUGAUGAUCAUAAAUCUAGCAAGCAAGCAGACGUGUCAUCUGCUUCAUAAAAAAAAAAAAUAACUUGUCGUCCACUCUUAAACAUUAAAAAAAAAGGGCAUAGCUUGCACACAAACUUUUAUCUUCCUUGAGCUACAUGUGUCUGCUUAAUAUUUUAGGCCUUAGACUCUUUUUAUAUCUUUUCCUAAUUUUUUCAAGCUUUUUUAUCAAGGUGCACUGUAAGUAAAAUACUUGUCAUGAUAUUUAAAUUAUUAUUCAAGAAAAAAGAAUUUUCUACUUAUGUUAUUUUUAAAUAGAUUUCUUAAUUUAUUUUAUCAUAUUAAUAGGGGUUUUUCCUUUUGUACAAAAUUUUAAGUCAUUAUUUUAGUUUUUUUUUAUUAAUACUUGCAUUUAGAUCAUAAUAUUUGUUUUUUUUAUCUAAAAAAAAUGUUUUCGAUUAAAAGAGUUUAGAUUGAAGAUAUAUUUUUUCCUAAUUAUUUCAAAUGAUCAAGAUUUUUACAAGCUUUUAUUUUAAUUAUAGAUGCUUUUUAUUAAAAAACAUUCUUCUAAUAAAAAAUCAUGUUAUUGUUUUUAAGAAGAUUAGAGCUCUUGUUUUAUAAUGAUUUCAUUUAUUGCUUUAUGGAUGAUUAUGGUAGCCUAAUAUGUAGAGUUUAUAAAAUUAUUUUCUCAUUAAAAUUGGAUGAGAAAAAAUAUCUAUUAUCUUAAUUUUUUAUUGUAAAUUUUAUAUGACUUCCUCAAAUUUAAUUUUCUAAUAUUAUUUUUAUGUAGAUAGUGUUUUAGAAUGUAACUAGAUAAUUAGCCCAUUUUACAUCACAAAUUGAACCAAAAAAAAUAUUGAGCUUAAAAAACAAUGUCAAUGUGUUUUUCAUUAGUAAGAAAAAAUAUAAUCAUUAGCUCAUAACCCAACUUAAUUGGUUAAUUUUAAAACCUUCUGAUUUAAAUACUUAUCUAGCUUGGGUAUCAAAUUAAUUUGUGUAGGAGUUGAUCUAAUAUUACCAUGUCGACUUAGUGAGUGAGAGGAAAACCUAAAUGACUGGCAAAAAUAUAGUUUGACUAAAAACAAAUUCAAGACAAUAUUUUUUUUAAAAAAUUAAUAAGUCGGUGAUAAAUUUGAUCAAUACAAGUCGCCUCCCAAACUAGCCACCCAAGUCAUAGACUCGAGUAGAUAUAAUAAGUUCAUUUUUAUACCCUUUUUUAUUUUAAUUAUAUGAUAGUAGAAAUAGACUAUGAGAAAAGAGAAUUAUGAUGGAUUGCACAAAAUAAAAACGUUUCCUAAUAUUAUAAAAACAUUACUAUUAUCUCACUCGAGAACAAAGCAAAAAUUAAAUGGAAUUUAAUAAAAUAAUAUUUAAAAUAUAUUUUUAAUUGAUUUAAUAAUUUUUAAAAUAAUUUUUAAAACAUAUUUUAAAUUAAUCUAUUUUUAAGAAAUUAAAUUAAUUGUUUUGGGGAAAACAAUUAAAAAAAAGUCCAGGUGCAAAAGCAUGCCAGCCCAGACCUACUCUUAUUUUAUUUCUUCUCCAAAUUAGCCACACGACAUGUCGUCCAUCUAACUUUUUUUUUUUAAAAAAAAAGAAACAAAUGAUGUGUUAUCUACAAACACAGUUUUUGACUAGUAGAAAGGUGGUUGUAAAAUUGAGCUGAGAUUUUUUUGAUUCGAAAAUCAUAUUUUUAACUUGUUUUCACCUAAAAAUACUCUUAUAACAUAAAAAAACAACAAAUUCAACAACUCAAAAACUCAAAAAUCUAUUAAAAAACACAAAGUCAAACAACAAAAGAUCUCUCUCUCAACGUAGAUCUAUUUUUGUUGAAAACUUGAAAGUGUAAAAACACUUUAAUGAAACUCUUUUCUUCAAGAUGAAUAUUUUGACAUCAAAUUUGGUUAUUUUUAUUAUUGAAAUUCAACCAACUGACCUCUGUCUUUUUCAUUCGUUGUUGUUUUAUGACUCCUUUCUUUUUUUAAAGAAAAAAAAAUUUGAACUAAACUAUUUAAUUACAAAACGAAAGGGACUAAAAAAGAAAUUUGAAAAUAUCCCAAAGCAAAAUUAAGCACGAGCACUCUAACACCAUUUUAUUUUCUUUUUUUAAAAGAAAAAUUAAGGUCUUCCAUUUUUUCUUUGUGUCAAUUUUAGUCCUCUCAAUUUCAAUCUUUUUCAAACAUUAAAACCAUCUUCUUUUUUUUGUAAAAUCAGAUUCUUGUUCAAUGUUGGAAUAAUUUUUUUGAGAUCGAGAUAAUCACAUAAAAAAUAGAUCAAAACAAGUUAUAAAUUCUAAUUUGCAAUUAAGACAACAUUGAAUGAUGAAAUCAAAAAGAAAAAAACUCGAUGAUUGAAAGCAAAAAAAAAAAAACGAUCAGAGUUAACACAAAAGUUUUUUUAAAAACAAAAGGGUUGCCAUUUUUUCUUUGUUUUGAUUUUGAUCUCUUUAUUUUUAUUUUCUUACAAACAAUAAAAAAGAAAUUAUGAAAUCGAGCAACAACAUGAUGUUGACAUGUUUUAUUGAGAUCUCAAUAACAAUAUAAAAAACAAAUAAAAAUAAAUCAUUAAUUCCAAAUCCAAACCAACAUAAUAUCAAAAAAUAAAAUUAAAAAAAAUCAAUAAUUAAAAAAAAACAAAACAAAGAAAAAAAAAGUGAGAGAGAAAAAUGCUUCAAUCCUCAUUGUAAUGUGAGGAGGGACAGUUUUCUCUGCACCUUUUAUGUUUUUUUUAUUUUAAUCAAGUCGUAGCAUAGAUUUAAGUGGUUAUUUUUUCACCGAAUGGGGAUUUAUAAACAUUUUUUUGGUGGUAAAAAUGAAUAAAAAAAUGUUUGGAAAAUAAAUAAAAGUGUUUUCUCGAGGCACUUAAAAUCAAAUACUUUUUGAAUUUUCCAGAGAAAUUUUCAGAGAAUUGCUGUGUUUAUCUCUAUAAAAGAAACCUUCUGGCAGCGUAAACCUCAUUAAAAAUCAAUAAAGGUAAUUUAUUAGGAGUCCGGCUGUAUUACAAUGUUCUAAAAGGUCAACUGCCUGGCUCAGCAGUAAAAUAAGAUACAAACAGCAAAACCACAACUGGAAAUACAAAACUAGAAUGCUAAUUGCAAAUCAACCCUUCAAUCAAGAUAUAGAUUUCAAUUAAAUGUCAAAAAAAUACUUUCUUGCAAUUUCACCAUCAAACCAUCAAUCACUUAAAAAUCAGUUCCUUACCAUGUGAUUGUAUUUUGGGUGUCAAGACCUACUUGCUAUCAUAACUUUAAUUAAGAAAAAACUACCCUACAAGAAUUUUCAAUCACAUAAAUAAAAAUAAAAUAAAACUUCUAUAUAGUCUGAAAAAUUGUGAUCUCAACCAAAUUUUUGUAUAAACUACAAAACUCUCUCUCUUUUUUUUCUUUUUCAAGAAUGUUUUGCGUAGGAAAAUUAUUAAAAUUGAUAGGUUUUUUGUAAAGAAAUACAGUGACAUUUGAACGAUAAAUUUGCAAAAAUUGUUUUAGCAGAUUGUAUUAAAACGUAUAGUAUAGUUUGAGGACUGGUUUAUAGUUAGCCAAAACCAGACACAGCGAGAAAGCCAGAAACAGGGGGAGCCGUUGUUGCCACCAAGAGAGAGAAACAGAGGACAAAUGAAACAACAGGAUCGUAAAUGGUUUUCUUUUAAGAAAUAUUCAAAUUUAUGGUCAACAUAAUCCAAAAAACAGGAGAGAUAUGCGUACUUCUGCAACUAUAAAUACCUCCAAAGACAACCUGUCUCGUCACAACUCAAGAAACAGAGCAAAGUAAUCAAAGAAGCGUUAAAGAAGGGUCUAAAGUUCGUUUAAAACAAAUAUGUCGAGCACUGCUGGUCAAGUCAUAUGUUGCAAAGGUAACCAAGAAAGUUCAUGAUUCCUUGUGGGGUCUGUGAUAUGUUCUAUGUGCUGUUGUCAUUUUGUGUAUUUGGAUUUCUCAUUUAUGUCUGGCAAUGACUUGAUGCAAUUUGCUUAAUCUGUAGCUGCUGUGGCAUGGGAAGCUGGGAAGCCACUGGUAAUAGAAGAAGUGGAGGUGGCUCCUCCUCAAGCUAUGGAGGUUCGUUUGAAGAUCCUCUUUACCUCCCUCUGCCACACUGAUGUUUACUUCUGGGAAGCCAAGGUGACUGCAUUUUCAAUUGUGAUUAUUAUGUCUGCUCAUUGGUCUUUUUAUAAUUCAUGCUAGUAGAGAUUUAUGCUUACGAAAAUGGGCUGUGAAAUUGCAGGGUCAAACCCCAUUGUUUCCUCGAAUAUUUGGUCAUGAAGCAGGAGGGUAUGAAUUUGAACCAUUAGUCCAUUAUUGGUCAUGAUUAGAUGGUGGUUCUGACUGUUGUAAUAGCGAUGAAUUGAGGUGACUAAUUUGAUCUUUUGUCCUCUUGGCUUUUAGGAUUGUUGAGAGUGUUGGGGAGGGUGUGACAGACCUCAAACCCGGUGACCAUGUGCUUCCUGUCUUCACAGGAGAGUGUAAGGAAUGCCGACAUUGCAAAUCAGAAGAGAGUAAUAUGUGCGAUCUUCUUAGGAUUAACACUGACAGGGGUGUGAUGCUGAAUGAUGGCAAGUCAAGGUUUUCGAUCAGAGGGCAGCCCAUUUACCAUUUUGUUGGCACCUCAACCUUUAGCGAGUACACUGUGGUUCAUGUUGGCUGUGUUGCCAAGAUCAAUCCUGCUGCCCCUCUUGACAAAGUUUGUGUUCUCAGCUGUGGAAUCUCUACAGGUGGGGAGAAAUACACGAUUUGAUAAAAAUCAUUGAAUGGGGCGAUUUGUUGCUUUCUUUUAAUGGGGAUUUCUCUUUUGAUUUGUAGGUCUUGGUGCCACCUUGAAUGUUGCAAAACCAAAGAAAGGCUCUUCGGUAGCCAUUUUCGGACUGGGAGCUGUAGGCCUUGCGGUAAGUUUGUUUAUACUGGUAGAUUAUUGAUAAUUUUUUCUGUUCAAGCUGCUGGUAGCGCUAAUGCAGAACUUGUUCUUGUUGUUUUUUCCUAAUCCAGGCUGCUGAAGGGGCUCGGAUUGCUGGUGCUUCAAGAAUCAUUGGUGUCGAUUUGAAUUCCAAUAGAUUCGAUGAAGGUGAGAGAAGCUAUUAUGUUGUUCAUUGUGGCUGCUGAGCAUUUCUCUUAAAUUAUUGAUUGAUGCUUUGCUCAGUCUAAUAGCUAAUAUCACAAAACAGAUAAAUUUAAGUGGACUUGAUGUUGAUUCUUGGUGUUAAUAACUGCUUUCUGAUGUUCAUUUGUGUUUUUUCAACAGCCAAGAAGUUUGGUGUCACUGAGUUUGUGAACCCAAAAGAUCAUAACAAGCCUGUUCAAGAGGUAAGUGACAAAGAGAAUCGUGUUCUGAGCACUAGCAUCGGCGAAUCCUUUACGCCUGUCCUAAUUUUGAUUUACUGUGUUCAGGUGAUAGCUGAAAUGACCAAUGGAGGAGUUGAUCGAAGUGUCGAGUGUACUGGAAGUGUCAAUGCCAUGAUUUCUGCAUUUGAAUGCGUCCAUGAUGGAUGGGGCGUUGCUGUACUUGUUGGUGUGCCGAACAAAGAUGAUUCUUUCAAAACCCAUCCAAUGAAUGUCCUGAACGAGAGGACUCUCAAGGGCACCUUCUUUGGCAACUACAAACCGCGCUCCGACCUUCCUUCAGUUGUCGAAAAGUACAUGAACAAGGUAAAUCAGAGUUCCCAUUAAACUUAUCCAGCCAGCAUGCAGUAUGCACAUAUAUUUCCAUACUUGCACAUGUGUAGUCGAAUAGAAUUAUGGCCUCUGUUGUUAUUUCUUAGAGGGAACCUAAAGAUAAAAUCGGUCAAAACAUCAACUUAAAUGAUCAUCUUUACAUUGUUAACAACUCCAAUUCCUUCGUUUUAUUUU